rnacentral:rRNA from 1 species
CAGUAGCCGCGGUAAAACGUAGGUGGCAAGCGUUGUCCGGAAUUAUUGGGCGUAAAGGGCUCGCAGGCGGUUUCUUAAGUCUGAUGUGAAAGCCCCCGGCUCAACCGGGGGGGGUCAUUGGAAACUGGGAAACUUGAGUGCAGAAGAGGAGAGUGGAAUUCCACGUGUAGCGGUGAAAUGCGUAGAGAUGUGGAGGAACACCAGUGGCGAAGGCGGCCAUCUGGGACAACACUGACGCUGAGGCACGAAAGCGUGGGGAGCAAACAGGAUUAGAGACCCCUGUAGUCCCUGUCUCUGAUAU